rnacentral:rRNA from 1 species
GAACCUUCGGGGGAUUUGUUGGGCGGCGAGCGGCGGACGGGUGAGUAAUGCCUGGGAAAUUGCCCUGAUGUGGGGGAUAACCAUUGGAAACGAUGGCUAAUACCGCAUGAUAGCUUCGGCUCAAAGAGGGGGACCUUCGGGCCUCUCGCGUCAGGAUAUGCCCAGGUGGGAUUAGCUAGUUGGUGAGGUAAGGGCUCACCAAGGCGACGAUCCCUAGCUGGUCUGAGAGGAUGAUCAGCCACACUGGAACUGAGACACGGUCCAGACUCCUACGGGAGGCAGCAGUGGGGAAUAUUGCACAAUGGGCGCAAGCCUGAUGCAGCCAUGCCGCGUGUAUGAAGAAGGCCUUCGGGUUGUAAAGUACUUUCAGCAGUGAGGAAGGAGGUAUCGUUAAUAGCGGUAUCUUUUGACGUUAGCUGCAGAAGAAGCACCGGCUAACUCCGUGCCAGCAGCCGCGGUAAUACGGAGGGUGCGAGCGUUAAUCGGAAUUACUGGGCGUAAAGCGCAUGCAGGUGGUUUGUUAAGUCAGAUGUGAAAGCCCGGGGCUCAACCUCGGAAUUGCAUU